AUUGAACGCUGGCGGCAGGCUUAACACAUGCAAGUCGAGCGGGGGAAGGUAGCUUGCUACCGGACCUAGCGGCGGACGGGUGAGUAAUGCUUAGGAAUCUGCCUAUUAGUAGGGGACAACAUCUCGAAAGGGAUGCUAAUACCGCAUACGUCCUACGGGAGAAAGCAGGGGAUCUUCGGACCUUGCGCUAGUAGAUGAGCCUAAGUCGGAUUAGCUAGUUGGUGGGGUAAAGGCCUACCAAGGCGACGAUCUGUAGCGGGUCUGAGAGGAUGAUCCGCCACACUGGGACUGAGACACGGCCCAGACGCCUACGGGAGGCAGCAGUGGGGAAUAUUGGACAAUGGGGGGAACCCUGAUCCAGCCAUGCCGCGUGUGUGAAGAAGGCCUUAUGGUUGUAAAGCACUUUAAGCGAGGAGGAGGCUACUCUAGUUAAUACCUAGGGAUAGUGGACGUUACUCGCAGAAUAAGCACCGGCUAACUCUGUGCCAGCAGCCGCCGUAA
rnacentral:rRNA from 1 species